AUAUUGCCCAAUGGACGAAAGUCUGAGGCAGCAACGCCGCGUGCGCGAAGAAGGCCUUCGGGUCGUAAAGCGCUUUUCGGUGGGAGGAGCGGGGACGCUACCACCGGAAUAAGGGACGGCUAACUACGUGCCAGCAGCCGCGGUAAAACGUAGGUCCCGAGCGUUAUCCGGAUUUACUGGGCGUAAAGGGCGUUGAGGCGGUCGGGCAAGUCGGGCAUGAAAGCGCUCGGCUCAACCGGGCGAGGUUGUCCGAUACUGGCCGACUGGAGGGCAGGCGAGGGGGGUGGAAUUCCGGGUGGAGUGGUGAAAUGCGUAGAGAUCCGGAGGAGCACCCGUGGCGCAAGCGGCCCCCUGGACUGCACCUGACGCUGACGCGCGAAAGCUAGGGGAGCGAAC
rnacentral:rRNA from 1 species